GGAGGAGUGGCAGAGUGGUUGAAUGCGGCGGUCUCGAAAACCGUUUACGCGAUGUUCUCGCGUACGAGGGUUCGAAUCCCUCCUCCUCCGCCA
rnacentral:tRNA from 1 species